rnacentral:rRNA from 1 species
AACGCGGCGGGCGUGCCUAAUACAUGCAAGUCGAACGGAGAGCUAGCAAUAGUUCUUAGUGGCGAACGGGUGAGCAACGCGUUGGUGACCUGCCCCGAAACGGGGGAUAACAGUUCGAAAGGACUGCUAAUACCCCAUAAUAUCUUGGUAGUUAGAGAGCCGAGAUGAAAGGAGCAAUUCGUUUUGGGAGGGGCCUGCGUCCCAUCAGCUAGUUGGUAGGGUAAAAGCCUACCAAGGCGACGACGGGUAGGGGACCUGAGAGGGUGAUCCCCCACACUGGCACUGAAACACGGGCCAGACACCUACGGGUGGCAGCAGUAGGGAAUAUUGCACAAUGGGCGAAAGCCUGAUGCAGCAACGCCGCGUGCGCGAUGACGGCCUUCGGGUUGUAAAGCGCUUUUCGGGGAGAUGAGGAAGGACAGUAUCCCCGGAAUAAGGCUCGGCUAACUACGUGCCAGCAGCCGCGGUAACACGUAGGAGCCAAGCGUUAUCCGAAUUCACUGGGCGUAAAGCGCGUGCAGGCGGCUCGGUAAGUUGGAUGUGAAAGCUCCUGGCUCAACUGGGAGAGGACGUUCAAUACUGUCGAGCUAGAGGGCGACAGAGGGAGGUGGAAUUCCCGGUGUAGUGGUGAAAUGCGUAGAUAUCGGGAGGAACACCAGUGGCGAAAGCGGCCUCCUGGGUCGCACCUGACGCUCAGACGCGAAAGCUAGGGGAGCGAAUGGGAUUAGAAACCCCAGUAGUCCUAGCUGUAAACGAUGUAGACUUGGUGUUGGUGGGGUAAAAGCCAUCGGUGCCGAAGCAAACGCGAUAAGUCUACCGCCUGGGGAACUACGGCCGCAGGGUAAAACUC